rnacentral:misc_RNA from 1 species
GAUGAAGAACGUAGUGAAAUGCGAUAAGUAAUGUGAAUUGCAGAAUUCAGUGAAUCAUCGAAUCUUUGAACGCACAUUGCGCCCGCUAGUAUUCUGGCGGGCAUGCCUGUCCGAGCGUCAUUUCAACCCUCAAGCCCCCGGGCUUGGUGUUGGGGAUCGGCGAGCCUCCGCGCCCGCCGUCCCCUAAAUCUAGUGGCGGUCUCGCUGUAGCUUCCUCUGCGUAGUAGCACACCUCGCACUGGGAAACAGCGCGGCCACGCCGUUAAACCCCCAACUUCUGAACGUUUGACCUCGGAUCAGGUAGGAAUACCCGCUGAACUUAAGCAUAUAAUAAGCGGAGGA